AGCUCCCGCUGCUGAAUAGCUGAGAGGCGCACCCGGGCGGCCAGCUGGGCUCGGAGUGCAGCGGGGUUAGGAUGGACGAGGACGUGUUGCACCCUGAAGAGCCUCAUCAUCGGUGAGAGUGGGGUGGGCAAGUCCAGCCUGCUCUUGAGGUUCACAGAUGAUACCUUUGAUCCAGAACUUGCAGCAACAAUAGACAAUGCAGGAAUCACAUGAACCUGUCCAUCCACAGAUAAAGUGGUAAAGAAACUGCCGUAUUAGAUACAUGAUGGUAUACUCUUCAGCCAUAAAGCUUCGGGAAACCCUGUCAUCCGCAACCACGUGGAGAAACCUGUCCAUCCACAGAUGAAGGGAUCAGGAAGCUCUGGUAUAUAUACUGAAGGGAAAUGCUUUUUGGCUACCAAAAUAAUGAAAUUUUGUUGUUUGGAGCAACACAGAUGAACCUGUCCAUCCACAAAUGAAGACAUCAAGAAACUCUAGUAUGUACACAAGGCAAAACACUUCAGCUAUCAAAAUCAUGACAUUAUGUCACUUGGAGCAACACAGUUGACCCGCCAAGGCAGCCUCUUCCUCCAUAGAUGGAUGAACGCUGUGGCCGCUGCUCCUGCCUGGGCCAUGCCCUGAUGCUGCCAACACCACUGCUCCUCUAUUUAUAAGUCUUAGUAGAGUUGCUGACCCAGCAAUAACUGAACAGCUGAUAUGUACCUCACACUAAGCCAGGCGCUUCAUAUGUAUCUAACUUGAAAAAUGCUGAGCUAGUUACCUUAACACCAUUAACUUUUACUUAAAAGUUUGUUUUUCUUUUUUAAUCCCAGUGAGCUCCAAACAAGUUUUAGGAGGCUCCCCAAAACCAGUGAAGACUUUAACUAAAAGUAGAAUUUCAAAGUAUUAGAAACCAAACCCCAAAAUUAAAUGUGAAGAUCAGUGUCUGUACUGAGCUGGCCCAUCUGGUGGACACAGGAUUUGCGUUAUCGACUGCAAUGUUACCCAGGAUUCACGAUUUCUAGCAUCUGUCAGGGUUAAGAAAAUUGGAUUGAGUACCAAAUACAGCAGAGCAAACCCGGCUUUGAGGCAAGGGCCCCAUCAAGUAGUCAUGCAGUACUUUUGUUAGGGUUCUGGGUGCAAAUCUUCCUCGUCCCUCCCACCUUCUCCUGGCCUCCUUGUAAACCCAAACCGCCAGGUACCUCAAUUUUCUUCAAGACCAGGCUGUUCUUAAUGUUGGUAAAUUGGUCAAGGAAAUGGGUGAGCCACUGCUUGCUCUGCACAUCGUCCUCAGAGUGCUCGGUCUUCAGGCAGUACAGCAGCUGCAUGGCUUUGGCCUGCAGGAGUAAGUGGCCCAUUCCUAGGCUGUCCCCAAAGAUGUGUCCUCUGAAGAAGCUGGUCAGGUAGAGGGGGUGUCCACUAUGGUUAUAGAUGGGGAAGGAGAUGCUGCCCAGGUCGAGCGUUUUGUCCACCUGCCAGGUGUACAGGAGUGGGUUGGGGGCACCACGCAGAGCAUCUUGUACCUCGCGCACACCUGCUGGUACUGGAGCUGGCUUGCGUUUCCCUGUGCCACACGCAGAUCCUGCACUGUACUGUCCAGUCAACUGACUUCAGCAAAGAUGUCUGGGUUCAGCAGCGAGUUGCUGUGUGAGGCCACCAGAAUGGAGGUGAUAUCGGCCUCAGUGCUCAUCCUGGAGGUGGAGAAGUGGUCAGAGUCCUCUGUGGUGAAAUGGCCCUACACCAAAGUGGGAGACAUUCAGAAUCGAGGCGAAAUUGGCCUCAGUGCUCCUCUUGGAGGCAGAGAAGCAGUAGGAGUCGGUGGUGAAAUGGCCCUGUGUGAAUGUGGAAGACCAGCAGAUUGGAGGUGGAAUUGGCCUCAGUGCUUGUCCUGGAGGUGGAGAAGCGGUCAGAGUCCUUGGUGGUGAAGUGGCCCUGCACAAAACGUUGCUCCCCCUUGGCCGGUGAAAGAAUAAAAGAAAGCUGGCCACUUGCAUUUCCGUUUCAGUUUAUAGAAUACAUGUUUUGGAAAUAGUAUCUUCUAGAUCUGUCUUUUUCUCUUCUGAUUUAACUUAGUAAAGCUAAGUUUUAUCUCUUCAUAGUCUUGCUUUUGUUUCAAAAGCUUUUAUGAGAUUUGUUUACUGUCUGUGGCUAUAUGGCAGACAAUUUGUUCAAGUGGCAUGCCUCCUCUUUCUCACAUUGACCUCCUCAGGAGGAGUUUUUCAAGGGCAAUGAGUCUUCUCUCUGAGAUAAGAAUAGUAGCCAGAAUUAAGAGGGUAAAGUGCAUUGUGGAAUUAAGUACUGAUUCCAGUGGAAACUCACUUUAUGGCCUUAGACAAAUAUUUACCCUUCUGAUCCUCAGUUUUCUGUCAAAGAACUUCUGCUCAUAUCCAAUUCCUAUAAAGUGGGAGUACUCUAACCUGAUAUUACCAACAUUAGGUUAGAUUUUAUCCUAAUGUUAGGUAUUAGAAUAUAUCCUAACAUUACUAGUUCUUCACUCUUACUAAAGUGCAUGUUAGAUUUCUUCAAUGAUUUUUUUAAAUUGGCAUGGUUGAUACAAAGCAUCCUUCUAUCCAAAUACUGUGCUCAGUCGCCUAAGUGAUAGUUUAGAACCAUACUAUCUCUCUGUGGAAAGAAUGCUGGGGCUCCUGGCUACACACUUUGAGUAGAAGGGAAAAUACCCCUCUUGUAUUUAUGAUGUUUUUUCUUUCUACUUGAUUAAGAAGAAAGUACAAAAAGGUGCUUAUUGAAGCAUUGUCAAUUUGGGAACAAGAUUCUCAGGAAUGAAAUAUUUGUGACUGUUCUCAGCAUGAAAGGUAGAGAGAAGAUUACUUGAUCAUUAUGUGCUUAUUUGAAAGUCACUUUCCUCCCAUGCCUCAACAUCUCACUUUUUAGAAUGCACACUGAAUGCCUGGAAUCUCUUUGUUUUAGAAAAGACAAAGGAUGCAUUGUUAAAAAAAUAAUAUUUCUGGGGAAAAGGCUCAGUGCUCAACGGUUACUCUAUAAAGAGAUUUAAAAAGAAAGUCAAGGGAAGAUAAGGAAGGUAGCAUGGCUAACAACCUCGUGGGUUCUACUAGCAUUAUUUCAUGCAAAAUGUCAUUAACCUUUAUAUAGGAGAGAAUAAGUCUGGGAAUCAACUGGCAUCUAAACUCCAUUUCUUGUUUUGUCACUGCUUCCCUGGUUGACUAUGGAAAAUACAUUUGGUCUUUUGAUACCUUGGUUUCAACAACUAUAACAUGACUUAAGAACUUUUAUGCAUGGACUUUGUAAUAGUUAUCUAUUUCUGCAUACAAAUUACUUCAAAACUUAAAUCGUCGUUUGAAACAACAAA
rnacentral:lncRNA from 1 species